CCCAUGGGCACCUGACCCGACCCGAUUUUUUUGGGUGAAAACCCGAGUUAAUGGGUUCGGGUUCGGGUUUUACCCGAUUGCUGAAAGUGUUUUCGGGUUCGGGUUUGGGUUUGGCUAAACCCGCACCCGAACCCUACCCGAACCCGGUUUGUAUAAGUGAAAUUCCAGAUAUAUCCUUAGAUAUAUAUAUGUUAUUAGAAUAGAAUUAGGGUUUGAGGUCACAGCUUUCUUCUCCACUUUCAGAUCACGGCUUUCUUCUCCUCUUCCAGUUCUGCUCUGUUUCCUUCUUCCGCCCACGGAGCUGCCAUUCUCCUCUUCCAGUCUUGCUCCGUCUCCUUCUUCCGUCCACGGAGCUGUUGUUCUCCUCUUCCAGGCCCGCUCCGUCUCCUUCUUCCGUCCACGGAGCCACUGUCCAAGCGUCCACGGAGCCGCCGUCACCUCAGCUUCAGAUCGAAGCGCAACCGCCACCAUUAUUGAGCUGAAAUAAUAGAUGGUUUGAGUUACCGUUUUGAUGAUUAAUAGCUACUGCAUCUAUGCUUUAAUGCAUAACACAUUAACACGGUUGAUGUUGAAGAUUGUGGACUUUAGAUAAUUGGAUUGAGCUAUUGAGAACUGUUGUUUUAAUUUGGAAGAGGGUGUUGUUGAAGAUUGUAGUUUUAAUUGUAUGCUUUGAGUUUUUCCUUGUGUUGGAUUUAUGCUUGAUGUUGAAGACUUUGAAUUGUUGAGUUUAUCUCACUUUUAUUUUACUUGUGGUUUUCAAAUGUAAUUGGGAAGUUUAAGGACCCAUGAAUUUUGUAAUUGAGAAGAUUAAGACUGUUGUUGUCUUUUUGAUUGCUUAUAAUACUAUGAUUGAGGCACUUGCUAAGGGCCAUCAUGCUCUUCAAAAAAAUGGUGGAGAAUAAUUGUCAGGCUAAUGAAUUUACAUACAAUGUGCUUUUUCUGAUUUUGAUUGUAAAAAGCAAUGAAAUUUGUUAAGAAAGUAAU